rnacentral:rRNA from 1 species
ACGAACGCUGGCGGCGUGCUUAACCCCUGCAAGUCGAACGGAAAGGCCCUGCUUUUGUGGGGUGCUCGAGUGGCGAACGGGUGAGUAACACGUGAGUAACCUGCCCUUGACUUUGGGAUAACUUCAGGAAACUGGGGCUAAUACCGGAUAGGAGCUCCUGCUGCAUGGUGGGGGUUGGAAAGUUUCGGCGGUUGGGGAUGGACUCGCGGCUUUUCAGCUUGUUGGUGGGGUAGUGGCUUACCAAGGCUUUGACGGGUAGCCGGCCUGAGAGGGUGACCGGCCACAUUGGGACUGAGAUACGGCCCAGACUCCUACGGGAGGCAGCAGUGGGGAAUAUUGCACAAUGGGCGGAAGCCUGAUGCAGCAACGCCGCGUGCGGGAUGACGGCCUUCGGGCUGUAAACCGCUUUCGCCUGUGACGAAGCGUGAGUGACGGUAAUGGGUAAAGAAGCACCGGCUAACUACGUG